rnacentral:lncRNA from 1 species
UCUAAUUGUGUGGGGUUCAAUAUGUACUUUGAGUUUUAGUAACGUUUCUUUUAUGAAUUUGGGUGCUCUUGCAUUUGGGGCAUAGAUGUUCAGAAUUGAGACUUUCUCUUGGUGGAUUUUCCCCUUUGUGAAUAUGAAGUGUCCUUCUUUAUCACGCUUGAUAACUUUUGGUUGAAAUUCUAUUUUAUUGGAUAUUAGGAUGGCAACUUCUGCUUGUUUCCUGGGACCAUUUGCUUGGAAGAUCUUUUUCUAUCCUUUUACUCUGAGAUAGUACCUGUCUUUGUUGUUGAGGUGUGUUUCUUGUAUGCAGCAAAAUGCUGGGUCUUGUUUGCAUAUCCAGUCUGUUAGCUUAUGACUUUUUAUAGGUGAGUUGAGUCCAUUAAUAUUGAGAGAUAUUAAAGAGAGAUGACUGUUGGUUCUUGAUAUGUUUGUUUUUGUAGGUGGCUUUAUGUACUUGUGACUCUCUGCUUUUGACUUUGUUGUGAGAUGCUUAAUAUCUUGUCCAUUCAUUGAUACAGGUACCUUCCUUGUGUUGGAGUUUUCCUUCUAGGAUCUUCUGUAGGGAUGUAUAGGUAUAUAGAUACUGUUUGAAUUUGCUUUUGUCCUGGAAUAUUUUGGUUUCUCUAUCUAUGUUGAUGGAGAGUUUUGCUGGGUAUAGUAGCCUGGGCUGGCAUUUGUGUUCUCUUAGAGUCUGCAUGACCUCUGACCAGGCUCUUCUGGCUUUCAUGGUCUCUGUUGAGGAGUCUAGUGUAAUUCUGAUAAGUCUACCUUUGUGUGUUACUUGGCCUUUUUCCCUUGCAGUUUUCUUUGCUCUGUGCAUUCAGUGUUUUGAUAAUUAUGUGACAAGAACAUUUUCUUUUCUGGUCCCAUUUAUUUGGUGUUCUAUAGGCUUCUUGUACCUUUAUGUCCAUCUCUUUCUUUAGAUUGAGAAAGUUUUCUUCCAUGAUUUUGUUGAAGACAUUUUCAAGUCCUUUGAGCUGGGAAUCUUUGUUCUCCUCUAUUCCGAUUAUUCUUAGAUUUGGUCUUUUCAUUGUGUCCUGAAUUUCCUGGAUGCUUUGGGUUAGGACUUUUUGAAUGUUUUGAAUUUUCUUUGACAAUUGUGUUAAUCUCUUCUACCCUAUCUUCUACACCUGAGAUUCUCUCUUCUAUCUUUCCUAGGUUUUCAGGUUUGCCUCCAUUUGUGUUUUUUUUUUUUUUUUUUUUUUGUUUCUACUUCUACUUUUAGGUCUUGGACCACUUUAUGCAAUUCCUUCACCUGUUUACCUGUGUUUUCCUGUAUUUCUCUCAGUGAGUUAUUGAUAUCCUCCUUAAAGGACUCUAUCUUCAUGAGAUAGGAUUUUAGGACAGAUUCCUGAUUUUCAGAUGUGUUGGUAUAUUCAGGGCUUACUGUGGUGAGAAAAUUGGGUUCUGAUGAUGCCUAUGAAUUUUGGCUUCUGUUGCUUAGGGUCUUGCGCUUACCUUUCACAAUCUGGAUAUCCCUGGUGUUUGUUGAUCUGCGUGAUUGUAUGGAGUCUGCCUCCUUUGUCCCUGGGUUGCUUCUAGUCGUCUGAUAGACUUUUGGCCCUAGCUAUAUCAGACCACCUGUGGGUCCUUCCAACUGGGGGUGGGGGCUCUUCACAGGGGCAGAGAAGCUGCUGAUCUGUUGCCCUGGCUGCAGUAGAUCUUCUGGGAAGCCUUCAUAUGGUUGGGUCUUCAGUGGAGCAGUCAAGCUGUUAUCCAUCUGCACUGAGUGCAGCUGAUCUUCAACUGCUCUGAGUGCAGCCGGUCCUCUAGGAUAUAUCAGGAUAUGGAGUCUUCACAGGAGCAGACCAACUAGGGGUCUGCCCCAGCAGCAAGGCAUUUCAUUUCUGACAUCAUUAGAAUGUGUGUCUUUUAGUUGCCUGUUAUGAUUAAAUUUGUCAAUUUCUAAUAUGGGCAUUUUAUUUUGUUACUUAAAUUUUACUUUUAAACUGAAAUAAGCCUAAAGAAUUAGAUUUAUCUGUCAGUUGUUCAGGUAUGAUUAGCUGGGAGGGGUCUGAUUCGAAAAAUCUUGAGAAUUGUAUUUGACUUCACAUAGUAUGGUAGCCAUUUCAUGGCACCUUUAGCUCAGUCCACUGGUUCUGGUCACACCAGGGUUGAUGAGAGCUGGGCUGUUUGGUCCCUAUCAAAGAAUGUAAACCAAGAGGUAGCCAGCAAAGUCUAGUUAAGUAAAGAUGUUUUGCUGUGGAGAAGGGUCUGGAAGCUUUGCUGAAGUGUGAGGAAUAGCUAGGGGAAUAGUGUGUGUUUCCUGGAGAACGAAGUUGAGGGGGUUGUUCACAGUUUUGGGGGUGGGGCUAUCUAUGUAGUUAUUU